UGUGUGUAUGUGUUUUAUGUGUGUGUGAGAGGACACAAAUUCAAACUGAAACUUUGCUAAGUAAUAGGUUUUAACUGAUCUGGAUACAUCAGGGUAGUGAGAACAGUAAGUCUGGAAAAGAAAACAAUAGUUAUCAAUACACAUACACUCUCCCAUACAUAGAACAAUGCCUAGGUCUAUUGCAUUUUAAUAUCCGCCGAAUAGGUAGCAUGAAUUCACAUCAUUUCAGCGAUGGGGAAAUGGAAACUCGCAGAGAGCUUAACUGAAUUUCCUGAGACCAUGGGAUGUCAGAAGGGCCACUAAAUCUUUCAACUUCCAACUCAUACUUUAAACUCCUGCCUCUUAUCCUUUUUGAAGUGACUGGGGAAGACCAGGUACAGAUCUGUAAAAUGCUUCAUUCCAUUUUCAGAGGAGCUGAGGUCAGGUGCUUCCUACAGUCGAGGUCUCGCCAAGAAGACGGUGGCCACGUUCCUCAAUUCUCAGGCGAGUGUUUUGAUGCCUGGGUGCUUCUGCCUGAUGAGCCCAGCAUUCAUGAAGUACAUGUGACAAGAGGACGGCUGGAAUAUUGCUCAAUAUUUUCAGGCCGACGGCACUGGCUGCAUGUAAUUUGAGAGGAGUGUAGAAUGUCAGCCGGACUUUUAUGACGCACCCCUCUCCUCUUCCUGAGAAUUGUUUGCAUGUGGAGAUUUCCUGCCUAUAUUUUUAGCGUCAAAUUUUUUUGUGGUUGCUCAAGUACCUUCGGCCAUGUUUUAGUGACUUACACAGAAGCCCUGAUGCCCCUGAUAAAACUGAUGACCAUCGAAUGGAAAGAAGUCAGUGUAGAAAGCCCAGGCAUUGUCCCAUAGCUGGCCCUGUGUGUUUGCACUGAUUCCUCAGAAUAAGUUUGCAGAUAGCUUAACUUCCAGAAUUCCUGAGUUUCACUAGUCCCCCUUCUUUAUGAUGAAUUGGAAAAAGGGUAUAUUCUGGGAUAAAGCAAGAGGAAACUGGGUGCAGCAAAGAUCCCUAGACCAUUUUUCCCAGUGGCCCAUUGCUCCUGCUGCUUUUUUCAUACCAGCUGAAUCUCCCUAAACCCCACGUCUGCGGCAAAGUCUUCGUGGUGAAACAGGUGAGUCACACUUUUCUGCUUCUCUGCAAUUACAAAUGUUAUCACCUCAUCUGACACAGAGAGGGUGUUGGUUGGAAAUACGCAUUAGGAAUAAGCUCUUUGGAAACAGCAAAACUGCCUUCAUGAAAUGAAGACUUUUUUUUAGAAAGUCUGGAGCUAAAGUUAUAAAAAUAAAGAGGCGUCAUCUCCCUUUCCUUCUCCUACAAUAAUGGAAAUGAAAUAUCAAAGUAAACAGCACCACAUCCAUGUCCUCAGCACAUGUGACUCGCUAACAGAACCAUGCCAGCCACCCCAUCCCUUCUCUCCCAUAUUCUCUGCUGUUCUCACUGUCUCUCAAGACCUGAUUUAAAACCACCUUCACUAAGAAGUCUUCCUGUCCCCCUUCUGGUCCUUCACGGAAUAUUAUUUUGCUUCUGAAACUUAAAAAAACAAUUUUGUUCUCAGGUCAUUCUCUGUGUACAUCCCAUCUCGUCCAUCCUACAGAUUAGAUGUUCUUCCAGGGUAGAGGCGACCCCAUCUCAUGUCUUUUUAUUCUCCCUCUGCUUUUUAUUCCCACAGGCAGUCUUCAGUACAAGAAGCGUCAAUCUCAGAUCUUACUCAUUUCCAACCUGUACCAAUCAAAGGCCCUCCCAGCCAAGAUAAAAGCAAAGUCUCCCUCCUCCAGAGCACAUGGGAAUGGCCCCCCAGUAGCUGGGGCAUGCAAGCUAAUGAAGUUUCAUCUUCCACCUCUAUCCAAAUAUGACCUUGCUGAUACCAUCUCCUAUUAGAUGACAAAUCCGGAUGUUUCUAUUGCAUGGUUGUUAUUUGCCACAUGCUUCCUGGACAAGUUUCUAGGUAACCUUAAUGUCUGUGCUUCUGGGGAAGGAGGAGUAGAAAAUAACUCACCUCUUCAGUAAGUGGUUUUAAAAAUAUAACAGUGUUUAAAAGCUUUUAGAGAGCAGCUCUCCUUCCGGCUGCUCCAGCUCUGUUUGCUUUGUGAUAGGAGCCCCCGUAACACUUCGUGCUUGGCAACAUCUGACGAGGACAGAAGGCAGGUUUAAAGCUGAGAAGAUUGAUUUUUCCUUUGUAGGGCUUUCCAUGAGGGGCGUGGGAGAGAAGUCACUUGGGGAAGCAGUGGUCAGUGAGGUUUACUUCUCCAUAUGCUCUGCAUUCAUGUGUAAGGCUAAACAAACGUGUUGUCUCCGCAAGCAAAUCCCACACCACAGAGAGGAGCAGUUUGUCCUGGAGGUCCUAAGGAGGUGACCAGUGACCUGGAGGGUAAAAGGUUGGGGCUCCUGAGACCUUUCUUCCAACUCUCAUUUCCAUCCUAAACUGGCAGGGGAAAUGUACCCAAAUUGCCUGUGUGUUUCGAUUUGAUGUGGACACACUGUGACCACUCAGGAUCGCUCUGGUGCUGCUGAACUCCAUGGUUCAUAUUAGGCCCGACUGUCUAGUUUUAGAAAGUGGGAGGAGAUUUCCCCUCUGCCAGGGCUUGGGGUUUAUGUUCCCCAGAGCAUUGAGCAAGAGCCUCAUGUUUACAGAAAUCUCAGGCCCCAUGAUUUCUUCCUGUCAGGGUAGAAGGAGAAGGAGUAGGCACAGACUGUGGAGUAGAUCUUGCCACUUCAGUCCCUUUGUUCUUGCCCAGCAUGAGGUUACCAAGGAAAGGAUACCUGGGGCGCUGGGGGUGAGGCCAGCUGCCAUGUGUCAGGACACUCAGGCAGCCUGUGGAAAGCUGCACAUGGUGAGGAACAGAGGGCUCCAGUCAAACGACCAAUGCCAACAACCAUGUUCCCAGGUGCUGCUGUUGCUGCCGGGGGUCAGAGGAUACCCUCUGAGAACUGGUGCUCUGACAAACAAUGGGUAAGCAUGGCUGUUGUUAGGCUAUCCUUAUCAGUGUGAGUACAGAUCAGAACAAGGGUGUAGAACAGAUUUCCUUUUGUUCUGAGCUGAAUGCAAACAGCAAUUACCAUACGUUGCACCAAUAGGUGGAAACUGAGUCUGGCCAUGAUGCAUUGCAUCCCACCUCCAGGCAGAAUACAGGAGGAGGGGUGGUUACAAUAGUGGGUGGGGGCCCUGAGGGCUGUCAAGUUAUCUGUGGAAUGGCCUCAACUCAAGGGUAAUGUUAGCAGGAAGGGAGGCAUUUUCAUAGCAGAUUGAGGUGUUUACCUGGUUGAAGAAGCCGAGGCAGUGAGGAAUGCCUGGCCCAGAGCAGAGCAGGGCAAUGGAAAUGUUACCUCCUGUAAAAAGGGGUUUACAUCAGUACUCUUGGGAGAAAAACUUUCAAGGAGGCAGAACAUGACUGGGCUGUGAGGAGACCUUACUGGGUCCCUCCAGUUACCAGGCCAAUUUUGGGGCUCAGCACCAAGCCUGAGAGGAUGAGCUCUUAAGGCAGGCUGACAGGAGGUGGGUACAGUGGGGGAGAUAAGACCUGUGUUGUUUUUUGUUUUUUUUUUUGAGACACCGUCUCACUCUGUCACCCAGG
rnacentral:lncRNA from 1 species